UAGCCCUGCCCCCUCUCUAUCUAUGCGAAGAGAAAAAAUUUGGAAUAAGAUAUGUGGAGAGAUGGAUUCCAACGCUAACGAAGAAGGAAAUCGACCGGAUGAUCAGAGACACGAUCGAUAUAGUGCUUAUGUUGCGAUUUGGCCGUAGCUCCGAUAAAGAUUUUCCUCACCUUGAUGACAUGUUAUACCUUCACUUUGAUUUCUCUCUCUGAAUCAAUUUUUUUUUUCUUUUUGUUUUCACGUCUCUAUUCACCCAAAAUCCCUAAUUUCAAAAAAUUUCAGCUUGGCAAAUCGGCGAGAGAUGUCUCGAAUUUGCUACGGUAGCUUUGGUUGAUGCCGAUUCGGAUCAAGUUGAAGUUUAUAUCAAUAUUGCGGAUCAUACUAUGGAUUGGUAAGUUUCACCAGAAACAAGACUUUAUUAAUGUUGUUGAGUUGUGUACAGAUCCGACCAUGUACAAAGGAACGAUGAAAGUGGAGGUGAUUGUUCAUUGCCAGAAAAUACCAAAUUACCAACUCUUAUACAAGAAUGU